AGAGUUUGAUCAUGGCUCAGGAUUAACGCUGACGGUGUGCUUAAUACAUGCAAGUCGAACGAGCGAUGAGAGAGUGGCAACACUUUCUCAAAGCUAGUGGCGAACGGGUGAGUAACGCGUGGGUAAUCUGCCUCAAAGAUUGGGAUAACUCCUUGAAAGAGGAGCUAAUACCAAAUGUGCUAUUUUUAUUGCAUGAUUUUAAUAGUAAAGGUAGCCGCAAGGCUUCUGUUUUGAGAUGAGCCCGCGUCCUAUUAGCUUGUUGGUAGGGUAAAGGCCUACCAAGGCUAUGAUGGGUAGCCGGUCUGAGAGGAUGUCCGGUCACACUGGGACUGAGAUACGGCCCAGACUCCUACGGGAGGCAGCAGUAGGGAAUAUUGCGCAAUGGGCGAAAGCCUGACGCAGCGACACCGUGUGAAGGAUGAAGAUCUUCGGAUUGUAAACUUCUGUCAAUUGGGGACGAAGGUACUGGUGUUAAUAGCUCCCAGUAUUGACGGUACCCAAUAAGGAAGUCUCGGCUUACUCCGUGCCAGCAGCCGCGGUAAGACGGGGGAGGCAAGCGUUGUCCGGAAUUAUUGGGCGUAAAGAGCGCGUAGGUGGCUUAUCAAGUCAUUUGUGAAAACUUUAGGCUUAACUUAAAGAUUGCAAGUGAUACUGGUAAACUUGAGCACAGUAGAGGAAAGUGGAAUUCCUGGUGUAGCGGUGAAAUGCGCAGAUAUCAGGAAGAACACCGGUGGCGAAGGCGGCUUUCUGGGCUGUUGCUGACACUGAGGCGCGAAAGCUAGGGGAGCGAACAGGAUUAGAUACCCUGGUAGUCCUAGCUGUAAACGAUGGACACUAGGUGUGGGAGGUUAUCGACGCUUUCUGUGCCGGAGUUAACGCAUUAAGUGUCCCGCCUGGGGAGUACGGCCGCAAGGCUAAAACUCAAAGGAAUUGACGGGGACCCGCACAAGCGGCGGAGCAUGUGGCUUAAUUCGACGCAACGCGAAGAACCUUACCAAGGCUUGACAUCAUAUUGAAGGAUAUAGAAAUAUAUCUGCCCGUAAGGGCAGUAUGACAGGUGGUGCAUGGUUGUCGUC
rnacentral:rRNA from 1 species